AUAGAUCCUAGAAAAGAGAAAUCCUGAGCCCUCCAAGAAAGACAUGAAUUGAUACCUUCAUUAUCUGCUCUAACUCCAGAAUCAAGUUCUGUAUGCUGCAUGGUGAAGCAAAUAUCAAAGCAGAAAAUAGAUACCUAAAUGAACAAUAGUAUGAAAGAGGCAAA